AUGAAAAUCUUAAGCUGGAACUGCCGCGGGAUAGGCGACCCCGCGACAGUUCGUGAGCUCCACGACCUCGUGGAGAUUAGCUCGCCAUCUAUUUUAUGUUUAGUUGAGACUUAGCUACAGAAAAGCCGUGUGGAAGGUCUCCGUACGUCGUUAGGUUUUGAUUUCAGCUUUGGAGUAGGGAGUAGUGGUCGCAGUGGCGGCCUUUGUAUCUUUUGGAAGAACUCUUUGGACGUUGCAAUAAAAAACUUUUCCGAGUACCACGUUGACACCUGGGUGACGGAGGCCGGGAAGGAGCAAUGGAGGUUGACUUGCUUCUAUGGAGAAGCAACCAAAAAUUUGCAUUACAAAACAUGGAAUACUAUGAAGCGUUUAAGAGGGGAUAGUACCCUCCCGUGGAUGUGCAUCGGUGACUUUAACAAGAUCUUGAGGCCUGAAGAACAACAUGGUCCAAAUGAGCGUGAUAGCGCCCAGAUCGAAGCUUUCCGUGAAGCAGUUGAUGUCUGUGGUCUCGCGGUCUGGACUGGACAUGGGAGAAGAAGGUAG
rnacentral:rRNA from 1 species